CCAAAACUAGAGAGAAGAAGAGAGAGAGAGAGGCGUGAGCUAGAGAGAGAAGGAGAAGAAGAAGGAGAAGAGGGAAUCAAUUCUAGGGCUUGAACAGGGGGUGAUAUAAUUUGAGUAUUGGUUAUCUUGUGUAUUCUUGAUUUUACAAAUCAAGAGAGGUAGCAAAUAGGUUUCUCUAUGGCACGCAUGGUGAUGUGGGGAGUUCUAUCGUCAUGGUGUGUAUGGUGUGGGGGCAUCCUAUGGACAAGAAACGAUCAGUUUAAACGCCAUUUUUCUAAAAAUAAUGUUAUGUUUAUUUUGACAUUCGGAACUUAUCAGUGGGACUUGAACUUUGGUUAUUUUUAAGGAUAUUGCAUGAAAACUACUAUUUUUCUUUUUAAACUAUUGGGCCCAACUUGCAUGUUUUAGCAAGGCCCCACUUGGAUUUUACAAUUAGUGGCUUUUUCUCCUAUAAAUUCAUGAGUAUGCAAAUGUUUUA